UACAGAGGGUGCGAGCGUUGUUCGGAAUUAUUGGGCGUAAAGGGCGCGUAGGCGGUGCGGUAAGUCACCUGUGAAAUCUCCUGGCUCAACUGGGAGCUUGCAGGCGAAACUGCCGUGCUGGAGUGUGGGAGAGGUGCGUGGAAUUCCUGGUGUAGCGGUGAAAUGCGUAGAGAUGUGGAGGAACACCGAUGGCGAAGGCAGCCCCCUGGGCUAACACUGACGCUCAUGCACGAAAGCGUGGGGAGCAAACAGG
rnacentral:rRNA from 1 species